rnacentral:rRNA from 1 species
GAGGUAGAUGGAGCUUGCUCUAUGUACCUUAGCAGCGAACGGGUGAGUAACACGUAGAUAAUCUGUCCUAUAUUGGGGGAUAGCCCGAUGAAAGUUGGAUUAAUACCGCAUACAGCUAUAUAGUUGCAUGAUUAUAUAGUGAAAGAUUUAUUGAUAUAGGAGGAGUCUGCGGCACAUUAGCUAGUAGGUGAGGUAAGAGCUUACCUAGGCGACGAUGUGUAGCCGGUCUGAGAGGAUGAACGGCCACAAUGGAACUGAGACACGGUCCAUACUCCUACGGGAGGCAGCAGUGGGGAAUAUUGCACAAUGGGGGAAACCCUGAUGCAGCAACGCCGCGUGAGUGAAGAAGGUUUUCGGAUUGUAAAGCUCUGUUAGCAGGGAAGAGGAAGGACGGUACCUGCAGAGGAAGCCACGGCUAACUACGUGCCAGCAGCCGCGGUAAUACGUAGGUGGCAAGCGUUGUUCGGAAUAACUGGGCGUAAAGGAUGCGUAGGCGGUUAAAUAAGUUAUAUGUUAAAUAUAUAGGCUUAACCUGUAGAAAGCAUAUAAAACUGUUUAACUAGAGUGCAGGAGAGGUAAGUGGAAUUCCUAGUGUAGCGGUGAAAUGCGUAGAGAUUAGGAAGAACACCAGUGGCGAAGGCGACUUACUGGACUGUAACUGACGCUGAGG